rnacentral:tRNA from 1 species
GCCUGGGUGGCUCAGUCGGUUAAGCAUCAGACUUUGGCUCAGUUCAUGAUCUCACGGUUCGUGGGUUCGAGCCCCGCGUCGGGCU